AGUGAGCCAAGAUCGUGCCACUGUGCUCCAGCUUGGGCAACAGAGAGAGACCCCGUCUUGAAAAACUAAAAGUAAAAAACAACAAAAAAAUAGGCUCCCUCCUUUGAGAAAUCUUCCCUCACAUCAACUAUUUCAGUCCCGCCUAGCCCGGUUUUUUCUUCCUUGUGCUCUAAUAUUCGUUCCAUCAAGUUUUACGACCCGAUCACGCUGUUUGUCCAGCACCCAUACUGCUUAAAGGCUCCGGUAAUCGGCGGCCCCAGCCUGUGGCGUAGACAGUUGCCAUGGAGAAAGACAGGCGUUUCCAGAGUUGACGGUUGCCAUGGAGACAAAAGUCGCCAGCACGCAAUGGGGGCGGGGCUUACAGAACGAUUUCUGCGAUUGAUCCAUAGGAAACAGAGGCAGCCUCGUGGAUCGCCUUCUCCACCCCGCAAACUGAAGCCAGAAUAAGCCACGACUUCGUGUGCCCCACUCGAGGGCCGCCUGAAGCCAGGGUUUCUCCCGCAUCGGCCAUCAGCGGACUGUCGCCCUAAGCAGCUCCCGAGGGAUUCUGGGAAGCGUAGUUCAUCAAGGAGUCUGACAGGCGCAGAAGCAUCCGUGGGGCCGGGGCAGCGUCGCCGCCAAGGUGCAGAUGCUGGUGGGGAGCAAGCUUCGCGUGGGAGGCCGACCCGAGGUCCAAGCUCCCAGUUGCCAGGUCCCUGAGGGCCCGACUGUCUAGUGACAUUCAUCAGUUGCCCUCCCGAUUUUGGGCCCAUUUUGGCCUGAAGAGUGGCCCCGAGCAGUCAGGGAUUUAGGCCACCGAGAGGCCUCUCCGAAAUUGGAGUUCCAGAAGCCAUCCUUGGAUAACAUCUCUAUAAUCUCCUGGGAGAAUCCUUCUUCCAAGAAAUCCUCCACCAGAGGAGAGUUCUUGGUCUCAGUCACAUCUGAAAGAUUUCAGACCAUUCGGCACAAGAGGGACAACCCAGCUUCCUCAUGGGGUGACUGGAGGAUUGAACGAGCAAGUCCGAAGAGCUGCUACUCAAUCGUUCAUUAAUUUAGAGCCAUCCGCUGGGCCCUGGAGCAGGAACUGUUUGUUCCAAUCACUGUGGACACGCCCCUGUCCUCACACAGCUCCCACUCUGAUGAUAAAAUGGUAGUUAGAACGUGAUGGAGCGAUGGCCAAGAUGAGUAGGAGAGGAGAUACGGAGUUCUCACAGGGUCGCAGGUCAGACUUGAAGAAGCCCCCAGGUUUGUGUUGUUACAGCAGCAGCAAGAUCCUGAAACAGUCGUCCCAAUGAGAUGCUAAGCAGGAAUUGGGUAGACGAGCCACGGGAAUCCUGUUUCUACUUACAACAAAUCCUGUCCAUCCUCUGCUCCAAACCCUCCAAUGGCCUCCGGAUUCAUCGCAUUUAAAGACAAAGGCCGGCCGGGUGCGGUGGCUCAAGCCUGUAAUCCCAGUACUUUGGGAGGCUGAGAUGGGCGGAUCACGAGGUCAGG